AGUUGCGGCAUCGCUGUUUAUUUGCGCUCUUUUCCCUGUUAGUAUAUGUUGAACGUAAAUAUAAAACAACCGUAUUUUGUAAUUUAUUUUAAAAGGAAAAUAUGCACGUAAUGUAAAAAUGCUUGUUUUAUGCUUUGCUCCAGUUGAAAAAAAAAACUUUCAAUGCCAAGCAACACUGUAUUGUAUCCUAUCGGUACUGUAAUUCCAUGAGUCUUUAGAAUGGAAAAUCUUUAACGUGAAUUGAAACGUUUGCCGAGAAUAUAAGCAUGUGCAAUAGUAGGCUACUGCCAAAUAAUAUAAACCAACAUAAAGAACUUUAAACUAAUUACAUGAUAAUAAAGUCGAUAUGCUACGACGUAACUUCACAGAUGUCGAGGUGCACUGAGUUGGAAAUAAUAGUCCACUUUUACGACUUGAGAAUACUUUUGUAAAUGAACUUCAGUAUUCUUACACAUUACAUGUUCACAAAGUUGCAAAGCUAUUGACGGUGAACCAUUUUGGCAUUAGAAUGUCUUGAAAUAAUCUAUUUUAUGUAUACUUAAACAUCACAUCAGUACGCCUGUUCUCAGUUUUCUCAAGCGAGGCAUCCAAACGGUGUGCUGUAUGCUUUAGUCGGCUUAGCUUCUUGCAUGACAUCUCCACAUACUCAGAGAGCGGAUGAUAUAACAUGUCUACAACUGAGGCUGAGUUACAGGGACUUAGGCAGGCAGCAGAGGACUGUUGUCCGGCCCGCCGCCCAGGGUGAAUGCAUGGGGCAGGAUGUACUACCAGGUGCAAUGGCAGCGCCCCCUUAUGUUCACUCUGACCAAGGGGAUCAACGAGUACAUGGACCUGUCACACCGGAGCCGCGAUCCCCCACCAGUACUUGCUGCGACUGGGACACGCAAUACCAGUAUGGCAUGGGACACCUUUGGCCUGAUAGUCUUCAAGCACUGCCAUUCACAUUUGCAUAUUCAAAUGGCUAGACGCGAGUGUGAGUCCCAGCAGAGGAGAGGCGAGUGUUCACAUUUCUAGUGCACUUUGGUGUCCACAUUUCAUGCAACACCUUAUAGACAUAGGCUAUCAAACAACAUCAGUUCGAGCGGUGCACAUUCGAUAACCUAAACCUUACACGUUGAAGAUGUAUUAAAGAGCAUCGCACGCUGGAAAUGUAUUAAAGAUAUAAAUACAGAAGCAAACACAACACCCCUUGCAAAUCAUCAACAAAUGAAAAACAUUAACCAUAUGUUUUGUGUGAUACGUUUAUGUUUUUUAUCAUCGGGAAUUUGUCGAUGUAACGAGGAUAUAGCAAAUAUCAAAUAGGCCUAUCCCUGUUCUAAAAAAAUGUCACAGAUAAAUUCAAGGAUAUUAUAACUUACAUGUAAUGUGUUAUUGGCAUGUUAUGAGAAUUCUUCAGAAUGGCAAUCAGGAAUGAUUGAACCCGUUAAUUGUUCAAAAGCAGGGUUUAGCUUACUUUAAGACAGUCCACAACCAUUAAGGUGUCCUACUUGAUUUUAGAUAUUAUUUUCAUAAACACUAUCAUAUUCAAUUAAGUAUGUGCUUAAUCAUAAUUCAUAAUCAUAAUAUGAACUAAUAUGACAUUAAAAAGACGAAUUUUGGAAGUUUAAUGGAUGCUUGUAUAACUCUGCACUAUGUAUAUGUGAUACGUGAACACUUAUUUCAAGUUGUUCUCUCAGAUCCUAGAAAUGAUUGUCAUUCCACUUUCAUUCUUCAUAAUAGGAGUUAAGUUGUUUCGAGAUAUAGGGAAUUACACUAAGUGCACAUAUUUUAAAAAAUUAGACCUAUGCUUUGUACAUGGGUUUCAAUUGUAUAUUGUAAGCAAUAAGAACAAAAUGAAAUAGACGCACUUCUUUGAUUAAAGCGUUUAAAUGUUUACACCAUACUUCUUUACAGUGGCGUAAGAAUUAUUAUUUGAGUCGGCAUUUCCCUGAUGUUUAUUCAAAUUUCAGUUAUGAGAUGAAUCUGUGAUCGUAAUUGGUGAUGCUCGUAGUUGUGUAACAUUUAAAAUGUCUUUGCUGUAAAUGCUUAAUUACUUGACUAAUGGGAAGUCAACAACAAGAGCUGACUUGCUGGUUGUCACCGUUUGCCACCACCUCACCAAUGUCAAUGACCCCUGUUAGAUAUCCGAUGUUAAAUGAGAUUAAUGUGCAAUAUCAGUUUUACGCAUUUGAUGGUAACAAUAUAGUUACCGAUUUUUCUGAGAUGUAAUUACUGAUGAAUAUUUGAUUGUCCAACACAGAAUAAAAGCCAGAUCUUGUAAAGAGA